GUGGGGAAUUUUGGACAAUGGGCGCAAGCCUGAUCCAGCAAUGCCGCGUGCAGGAAGAAGGCCUUCGGGUUGUAAACUGCUUUUGUAUGGAACGAAACGGUCCUGGCUAAUAUCCGGGGCUAAUGACGGUACCGUAAGAAUAAGCACCGGCUAACUACGUGCCAGCAGCCGCGGUAAUACGUAGGGUGCGAGCGUUAAUCGGAAUUACUGGGCGUAACGCGUGCGCAGGCGGUGCUGUAAGACAGGCGUGAAAUCCCCGGGCUCAACCUGGGAAUUGCACUUGUGACUGCAGUGCUGGAGUGCGGCAGAGGGGGAUGGAAUUCCGCGUGUAGCAGUGAAAUGCGUAGAUAUGCGGAGGAACACCGAUGGCGAAGGCAAUCCCCUGGGCCUGCACUGACGCUCAUGCACGAAAGCGUGGGGAGCAAACAGGAUUAGAAACCCUGGUAGUCC
rnacentral:rRNA from 1 species